rnacentral:tRNA from 1 species
CUAGAAAAAUAGGACUCGAACCUACACCUAAGAGAUCAAAACUCUUAGUACUUCCACUUAUACUAUUCCCUA